rfam:Oblitimonas alkaliphila strain E5571 chromosome.
UUGUUCUUGUCGGGGUGCCAUUAUGGCUGAGAUUGGUAAUAACCAGAUCCCGUUGAACCUGAUCGGGUUAAGACCCGCGUAGGGAACAAGAUAAGCGUGUCA